AUAAAUUUUUAAAAUUAAUUGUAUUUGUAUUUAAACUGUACACAUACAUUUUCUAAUUAAAUAAACUUUUAAAAUUACAGUUUAUUUUGUCCAAAAGAUGAAAAUGAAGAAAUUUUACUUUUGUUGUUUAUCAGUGAGGCAAUGGCAGUCAGAAAUGCUGUAUUGGAUCGGUCACCUGAAUUUAAAGAUGCAAGAAUUCAUUCAUAUCUCAAUGUUACUGCAGUGUAUGAUCUUCUUACAAUUGCAUUAGUGAGACGGAAUCAAUUUCAAAUCUUAGGCGAGGUAAUUUUU